UGCGCAGGCGGGGAAAUAAGUCAGUGGUGAAAAGCUGCCGCUUAACGGUAGUCUUGCCAAUGAUACUGUUUUUCUUGAGUAUGGUUAAGGUAGGCGGAAUGUGCAGUGUAGCGGUGAAAUGCAUAGAGAUUGCACAGAAGGCCGAUUGCGGAGGCAGCUUACUGGGCCAUAACUGACGCUGAGGCACGAAAGCGUGGGGAUCGAACAGGAUUAGAUACCCUGGUAGUCC
rnacentral:rRNA from 1 species